rnacentral:rRNA from 1 species
GUGGGGAAUCUUGCGCAAUGGGCGAAAGCCUGACGCAGCCAUGCCGCGUGAAUGAUAAAGGUCUUAGGAUUGUAAAAUUCUUUCACCGGGGACGAUAAUGACGGUACCCGGAGAAGAAGCCCCGGCUAACUUCGUGCCAGCAGCCGCGGUAAUACGAAGGGGGCUAGCGUUGCUCGGAAUUACUGGGCGUAAAGGGCGCGUAGGCGGACAGUUUAGUCAGAGGUGAAAGCCCAGGGCUCAACCUUGGAAUUGCCUUUGAUACUGGCUGUCUUGAGUACGGGAGAGGUGAGUGGAACUCCGAGUGUAGAGGUGAAAUUCGUAGAUAUUCGGAAGAACACCAGUGGCGAAGGCGACUCACUGGCCCGUUACUGACGCUGAGGCGCGAAAGCGUGGGGAGCAAACAGGAUUAGAAACCCGGGUAGUCC